rnacentral:rRNA from 1 species
CCUACGGGUGGCAGCAGUGAGGAAUAUUGGUCAAUGGCCGGGAGGCUGAACCAGCCAAGUCGCGUGAGGGAAGACGGCCCUACGGGUUGUAAACCUCUUUUGUCAGGGAGCAAGGUGCAGGUCGGGACCUGCUGUGCGCGUACCUGAAGAAAAAGCAUCGGCUAACUCCGUGCCAGCAGCCGCGGUAAUACGGAGGAUGCGAGCGUUAUCCGGAUUUAUUGGGUUUAAAGGGUGCGCAGGCGGAGGCACAAGUCAGCGGUAAAAUCGCGGGGCUAAACCCGGCGCCGCCGUUGAAACUGUGGCCCUUGAGUGCGCGAAGGGUAGGCGGAAUGCGUGGUGUAGCGGUGAAAUGCAUAGAUAUCACGCAGAACUCCGAUCGCGAAGGCAGCCUACCGGAGCGCAACUGACGCUCAUGCACGAAAGUGUGGGUAUCAAACAGGAUUAGAUACCCCUGUAGUC